UUUAGAGUUUGAUUCCUGGCUCAGGACGAACGCUGGCGGCGUGCCUAAUACAUGCAAGUCGAACGCUUUUUCUUUCACCGGAGCUUGCUCCACCGAAAGAAAAAGAGUGGCGAACGGGUGAGUAACACGUGGGUAACCUGCCCAUCAGAAGGGGAUAACACUUGGAAACAGGUGCUAAUACCGUAUAACACUAUUUUCCGCAUGGAAGAAAGUUGAAAGGCGCUUUUGCGUCACUGAUGGAUGGACCCGCGGUGCAUUAGCUAGUUGGUGAGGUAACGGCUCACCAAGGCAACGAUGCAUAGCCGACCUGAGAGGGUGAUCGGCCACACUGGGACUGAGACACGGCCCAGACUCCUACGGGAGGCAGCAGUAGGGAAUCUUCGGCAAUGGACGAAAGUCUGACCGAGCAACGCCGCGUGAGUGAAGAAGGUUUUCGGAUCGUAAAACUCUGUUGUUAGAGAAGAACAAGGAUGAGAGUAAAACGUUCAUCCCUUGACGGUAUCUAACCAGAAAGCCACGGCUAACUACGUGCCAGCAGCCGCGGUAAUACGUAGGUGGCAAGCGUUGUCCGGAUUUAUUGGGCGUAAAGCGAGCGCAGGCGGUUUCUUAAGUCUGAUGUGAAAGCCCCCGGCUCAACCGGGGAGGGUCAUUGGAAACUGGGAGACUUGAGUGCAGAAGAGGAGANGAUCC
rnacentral:rRNA from 1 species